rnacentral:rRNA from 1 species
AUUGAACGCUGGCGGCAGGCCUAACACAUGCACGUCGAGCGGAGCGGCGGACGAGUGAGUCCUGCCUAGGAACCUGCCUGGUAGUGGGGGAUAACGUACGGAAACGGGCGCUAAUACAGCAUACUAUAAGAAUAGCCUAGGUCGGAUUAGCUCGUUGGUGGGGUAAAGGCAUACCAGGGCGACGAUCCGGACCUGGUCUGAGAGGAUGAUCAGUCACAUGGUAACUGAGACACGGUCCAGACGCCUACGGGAGGCAGCAGUGGGGAAUAUUGGACAAUGGGCGAAAGCCUGAUCCAGCCAUGCCGCGUGUGUGAAGAAGGGCUUCGGAUUGUAAAGCAAUUUAAGUUGGGAUGCGUUACCAACAGAAUAAGCACCGGCUAACUUCGUGCUAGCAGCCGCGGUAAUAC